rnacentral:misc_RNA from 1 species
GGCAGAAUCAUGAUGAUCGAAACUAGGGUUAGGGUUUGAGGACGAAUUCAGCUUCUUCGACUGGCGGAAAUUGGGGUGGGACUUCCUCAUGUAGACCUGCUCCGGCCACUGCGGCGGUUCAUUACUCCUUGCCAGGAUUGCGGAAGCCAUACACACGCCGGCCGGAGAUCGCCGUCAGAAGCGUGAUCCGGUCUGACUUGGGAAGGCG